AUGAUGGGGUCUCUGGAAGGAGAGAGCUCCUAACCUCAGCCUUCGCAGCUAACCAGGACUAAGUACCUGCACAGUGUUGGAGAUGUUUGGCCUGGGUUCUGCCUCUGCUCUGCUGGCAGCCCCUACUUAACUUGGCAAGUCACAUCAUUUCUGAAAACCUUAGUGUUCUCCCAUGUAAGAUGUGGACAUUGGUGGCAUCUACUUUGGGCAUCAUCAGAAAGGAGCAGUGCUGUCUUCUUCCGCUGUGUUCCUCGUGGCAUUUCUGAUGCUGCUCCUCUGUUCCCUGAUUUAUGUGCUAUCUGAUGAGCUGUAGAAAACUUACUGCCUUCCUCUCAUGGAUAAGCAUGCCUUGGAACAAGCCACUUCUUCAGGCUCCUCUUGGGAGUAAAUGAUACUUUGAAGCCAAGAUCUGGUUGGGGGUGUGCAUUGCUCCUGGGGCUGCUGUUCCUUGGUCUUGCGGACAGAGCAAGAAAGCAAAAUUAUGGAUGCCAGGGACACAAAGUGAUGCUAGUGUUUGUUUCUGAGCCUGUUUGUGUAGUCACGGCCUCCAUUUCAAUUGGCCUUGAGAUUCAUCUAACUUCUCUUUCAUAAUGUUCCUCCUUUUUCAGCCAGUGAAAACCUGGCUUCUGUCAUCCUUGAUAUAUUCUUUUAUCUGUGUGAUCAUCUCUGUUGCUGCUAAUUAUUUUGUUUUGUAUUGGGUGUUUUCUGUGGUUUAGGCAAGCCUACAACUCAGGGUGAACACUGGGUUUGCAGGCAUGCACCAUUAAGCCAGUUUACUGUUCAUUCUUGACUUAUCAAGCUGCUGCCCACUCACACUGACUCCUGGUUUGAUCCUAGCUGUAUGUGCUGCCUUACUAUCAAGAAGGAAAACUGGAAGAAAAGAAAGGAGGGCAGGAGGAAGAAAACUGAAAGAAAGAGGGAAGGUAGGUAGAAGUCAGUGAACUCAAAUUCCAGGAUUUUGUUGGCUCUGCACCUGCCUAGAUGUCUUCACCUAUAUGAGAGGCAAGCAUAUUAGUAGGCAAUGCAUACCAAGAUAAAUGACUCUUUGAAAGUGUGAGGAUAUCUUUAUCUAUCAGAGGAUAUCUUUAUCCUCUGACUUGUGGCUCCUCAAAAGUGACAAUCAUGAAGGUUAGCAGUGUUCUUUGGAGCCUGGGCAUUUAGUUAUAAGCCCUUGAACAGUUGCUUAGUAGUUAUAAGCCUCUGAGCAAUAACUUCAUUUCUUUGUGACACUGUCUCCUCAUUUGUCAAAUGAUGAUAAAGGUAGUACUGUCCUGUAGAAGUGAUAGUACUAAAUCAGUUAACACAAAUAAAGCAUUCGAAUAACACCUAGGACUCAGUAAAUGUUAGUUUUAGGUGUCUGGUCUUUGCUGACUGUUGGAGAUGAUCUUCUAAGACUUCUUACUUCCAGGCAGCAAAGCCUCACACCAGGUCUGCACAAGCACUCAGGAGCACUCGGUGAAGAGCCAGUGAGAUGGGUUUCUGCUGCCUGCAAUGCUGCCUCCUGUUUCCUUACCUAGGAGUUUGUCCCCAGUCCCAGUUCUCUUUGCUGAUCUCUAGGAGUCAAUAUCUGUUCUCAAAAUCCCCCACCGCAGCUCCUAAGUCACUCUGUACAUCUCCUUGCCUGCUCCCAACACAGGGAAACUAUUAUUCUGUGUGCUGCGGUGCUGUGCUCUGGGUCCACCUGCAUUUACAAUGACUUCCUGCCAAGGCAAGAGUAUCUUUCUUCACAGAGACCUUCUGAGUUAGGAGAUUUCAGGCUAUCCUUCAAAUGGCAGACAGAGAAGACAAAGUAGACAACUAGCUUUGAGGUUUGGUGGUGCCACCUGUCAUGGGCUGAGCUGUUUCUCCUUGAAAAUUCCUUUGUCUAAACUGCCCCUCUCUUAAAAUGAGACUAUAUUAGGAAAGAAGGUCUCAAAGCAGUAACCAUGGUUAAAUAAGGUCAUUAGAGUGGCCAUCCCUUGGGAGGAAGAGGUGAGGAGAAGACACACACAAAGGAAGAAUCUAUGAUGACAUGGAGAAGUGGCCAUCCAUAAGCAAAGAAAGGCCUCCCUGGAAGGAAAUACUCAAGCCAACACUGUGACUGUAUAGUCUCAGCCUCCAGAGUAAUAUAGAAGGAAAAUCUGUUGGUGAAACCUCUCUAUUGGUGGUACUUUGUUUUGGCUGCCAGAGAAAACUAAUAUGCUACCUAACUCCUAUAUGAUCUUGGGAAACUUAACAUCUCUGAGCCUUUGGGAAUUUACUAUAUAAUAAGGAGUUUAGAGUCUCCUGGCUGUCAUAUCAUAUGCCUCUGAGGAUCUAUCCCAAGAGCACAUAACAGCUUUUUCAAUAUUAGCCCCAGAAAAAUUAAAGAGCUACUCUUGUUGGACUGAAGACAGUGAGAAGUCGCAGAGUCCUGUGACCAGUUACACAUCCUCAUUCACUUGGUUCCCUGCAAAGCAUUUGCCUGGUACAGCUGAAGAAUUCUGUAUAAGAAUGAGACUUUGUAAACUUAUUUCCUAAAUUCUAGUUCUAAAAUCCUGAUAUUUUGACUACAAUUGUCUCUUUUCAUUCUUCUAUUUUUAGCUAGUGAUUGUUUAGAUUUAUAUUAUUUAUGUGCUUAACAUUGAUUUUUGCUGUGCAGACAUACUAGGUACAAAACCAUGAUGAGGUUGUUGUUUGGCGGCUUGGGGUACUUGGGGUGCCAGUUAGUGCUCGUUCUGAUCUCCUUGUUCUCUAAAGGAAAUAGACACUAAACAGGAACCAUCUGGUAAUGCGUUCUGCACCUCUUAAUUACAAUGUUUUGAGUGGCACCUAAAUAAAUUUCAUUUACAAGCACAUGACUGCUUGUCAAAACUCUGUUGAUAAUUUUAUUAUUGUAAUAUACUUUCUUCCUUAAUUAUUUAGUUCCAGUAAAGUCAGGAAUAUUAAUUUUUAUGGAAAUUACCUGGACCAACAAACCUAAGCCACA